AGCAGCCGCGGUAAUUCCAGCUCCAAUAGCGUAUAUUAAAGUUGUUGCAGUUAAAAAGCUCGUAGUUGAAUUUCGGGAUCGACGUGAUGGUCGUGCCUUAAGGGGUAUGAACUGUUGCAGUCAAUUUCUCACCUUCUGGAGAAAUAUAAUGUCCUUAAUUGGGUGUUAUAUGGAACCAGAACUUUUACCUUGAAAAAAUUAGAGUGUUUAAAGCAGGCAUAUUGCUCGAAUACAUUAGCAUGGAAUAAUAAAAUAGGACGGCAUGGUUCUAUUUUGUUGGUUUCUAGGAUCACCGUAAUGAUUAAUAGGGAUAGUUGGGGGCAUUAGUAUUCAAUUGUCAGAGGUGAAAUUCUUGGAUUUUAUUGAAGACUAACUACUGCGAAAGCAUUUGCCAAGGAUGUUUUCAUUAAUCAAGAACGAAAGUUAGGGGAUCGAAGACGAUCAGGUACCGUCGUAGUCUUAACCAUAACUAUGACCGACUAGGAAUC
rnacentral:rRNA from 1 species